UGUCAGCUGAGCUGGCACAGGUUAGAGUACCAAGACUGAGCAAUCCCACAGCGUGAGCUGUGAUUGCGAAUAGUUUAGACUAAGCAAACCCACAGCGUGAGCUGUGAUUGCGAAUAGUUAUUGAAUUUCUGACCAUACCACGUGGAGCAUUGGCUACACGGCUGGAAAUGGUUCAACUCUGAGACUAUCGAACCCUACCGAAUAAGAGAAAAUCUUAGAUACUAAUUACUAGUCUGCAGCUAGAAAUUAUGUAAACCUGGGAUGUGAAUACCGACAACCGCCGAAACAUCUAUCUAUGAGAAUAUUUCUGAAUGGUACCCUGAAGUAUCCAUCUAACCAUGAAAGAAUUUGAUCUUCAGGGAAACAGAAAGAGAGAGAGAGACUUGGAAUUCUCCAGCAGACGGACCGGACUCCAACAGAGAAGAUCACGACACAUGGGUUCCACACUGAGAUUUGUGCAGAUAACCAACACUUUACGACGUUUGGAAUGAGACUGACGGGAGAGUUCCCCUCCGAAUGGUCGCUGACUGGCUUCAUGGCCUGUGUGCUGGAUCUUUGUUGCUGUGGUGACAUGGCCCUCCAGUCAUUUCUGACACUGUGAUUGGAGAAGGUCCAAGAGC